rnacentral:rRNA from 1 species
GCGGCGGACGGGUGAGUAACACGUGGGUAACCUGCCUGUAAGAUUGGGAUAACUCCGGGAAACCGGAGCUAAUACCGGAUAACAUUUCGAACCGCAUGGUUCGAAAUUAAAAGAUGGUUUCGGCUAUCACUUACAGAUGGACCCGCGGCGCAUUAGCUAGUUGGUGAGGUAACGGCUCACCAAGGCGACGAUGCGUAGCCGACCUGAGAGGGUGAUCGGCCACACUGGGACUGAGACACGGCCCAGACUCCUACGGGAGGCAGCAGUAGGGAAUCUUCCGCAAUGGACGAAAGUCUGACGGAGCAACGCCGCGUGAACGAUGAAGGCCUUCGGGUCGUAAAGUUCUGUUGUUAGGGAAGAACAAGUACCAGAGUAACUGCUGGUACCUUGACGGUACCUAACCAGAAAGCCACGGCUAACUACGU